AUUGAACGCUGGCGGCAUGCCUUACACAUGCAAGUCGAACGGCAGCGGGGGAGAAGCUUGCUUUUCCUGCCGGCGAGUGGCGAACGGGUGAGUAAUACAUCGGAACGUGCCCUGUAGUGGGGGAUAACUAGUCGAAAGAUUAGCUAAUACCGCAUACGACCUGAGGGUGAAAGUGGGGGACCGCAAGGCCUCAUGCUAUAGGAGCGGCCGAUGUCUGAUUAGCUAGUUGGUGGGGUAAAGGCCUACCAAGGCGACGAUCAGUAGCUGGUCUGAGAGGACGAUCAGCCACACUGGGACUGAGACACGGCCCAGACUCCUACGGGAGGCAGCAGUGGGGAAUUUUGGACAAUGGGCGAAAGCCUGAUCCAGCAAUGCCGCGUGUGUGAAGAGGGCCUUCGGGUUGUAAAGCACUUUUGUCCGGAAAGAAAUGGCUCUGGUUAAUACCUGGGGUCGAUGACGGUACCGGAAGAAUAAGGACCGGCUAACUACGUGCCAGCAGCCGCCGCGG
rnacentral:rRNA from 1 species